rnacentral:snRNA from 1 species
GGGUAUAAGGGGGAUCGGGCUGUGACAUCAGUCACCCCUUGGAUCACCAGGUGACUCAGCUGAUCUGGGGGGUGAGGCAGGUGUCUCCUUCCUCCCUCGCCACUCCACGAGUGUCCUUCCCAAAGCGACCUGCUCAGCUGAGGAGGACGACCUUCUCCCAAAGGGAAAGAUGUUUCCUAGGUCAAGGAUGGAUGAACAGCUGCCCUCCCUUGCUAGAACCUCCAAAUAAGCUCGCAAAUCCUAAUAGGAAAUAGAAUUGGCAGCGGGGCCACUCCAAAUUGCACAUUAAUGACUCAGGAGCAGGCAGUCCAU